UACGGAGGGUGCGAGCGUUAUUCGGAAUUACUGGGCGUAAAGGGCGCGUAGGCGGCCGCGCAAGUCUGGUGUGAAAGCCCAGGGCUUAACCCUGGAAGGGCACUGGAAACUGUGCGGCUUGAGUGCCGGAGAGGAGGGGGGAAUUCCCGGUGUAGCAGUGAAAUGCGUAGAUAUCGGGAGGAAUACCGGUGGCGAAGGCGCCCCUCUGGACGGUAACUGACGCUGAGGCGCGAAAGCGUGGGGAGCAAACAGG
rnacentral:rRNA from 1 species